AUGGAAUGGAGCUGGAUAAUUUACUUCCUAGUGUCAGUAACUACAGGUGUCCACUCUGAGGUCCAGCUGCAGCAGUCUGGGGCUGAGCUAAGGAAACCUGAUUCCUCAGUGAAGUUGUCCUGCAAGGCUUCUGGCUACAUCUUUACCAGCUACUAUCUGCACUGGGUGAAGCAGAGGUCUGGUCAAGGCCUGGAGUGGAUCAGAAGGAUUGAUCCUAGGGAUGGUGAAACUAAAUAUGCUCAGAAGUUCCAGGACAAAGCCAAACUGACUGCAGACAAAUCCUCCAGCACAGCCUACAUGGAGCUCAGCAGCCUGACAUCUGAGGACUCUGCAGUCUAUUUCUGUGCAAGACACAGUGUUGCAAACACAUCCUGGGUGUGUCAGAAACCCUGCAGGAGCAGGAAGUUGCCCUGGAACUGA